ensembl:snoRNA
AGCCUUUGUGUUGCCCAUUCACUUUUGGCAACUAGUGAAUGUGGUGUCAAAAAAGGCAAAAAUCAAACACUUUUGCAGCCUUUUACUGCCUUUGUAUUUGAUAUCUUCGGUGUAGGAGCUGCUUAAGUAACAGUU